rnacentral:rRNA from 1 species
GGUAACGGAGGCGCUCAAAGGUUCGGUAAGGACGGUCGGAAAUCGUACGUAGAGUGUAAAGGCAAAAGAGAGCUUGAUUGCAAGACAUACAGGUCGAGCAAGGAUGAAAAUCGGACUUAGUGAUCCGGUGGUUCUGCGUGGAAGGGCCAUCGCUCAACGGAUAAAAGCUACCCUGGGGAUAACAGGCUUAGCUCCCCCAAGAGUCCACAUCGACGGGGAGGUUUGGCACCUCGAUGUCGGCUCAUCACAUCCUGGGGCUGUAGUAGGUCCCAAGGGUUGGGCUGUUCGCCCAUUAAAGUGGUACGCGAGCUGGGUUCAGAACGUCGUG